rnacentral:rRNA from 1 species
GAAAUUUUAGUGAUUGAGUGGCGGACGGGUGAGUAACGCGUGGGUAACCUGCCUCACACAGGGGGAUAACAGUUGGAAACGGCUGCUAAUACCGCAUAAGCGCACAGUACCGCAUGGUACAGUGUGAAAAACUCCGGUGGUGUGAGAUGGAUCCGCGUCUGAUUAGCUAGUUGGCAGGGCAACGGCCUACCAAGGCGACGAUCAGUAGCCGACCUGAGAGGGUGACCGGCCACAUUGGGACUGAGACACGGCCCAAACUCGUACGGGAGGCAGCAGUGGGGAAUAUUGCACAAUGGGGGAAACCCUGAUGCAGCGACGCCGCGUGAGCGAAGAAGUAUUUCGGUAUGUAAAGCUCUAUCAGCAGGGAAGAAGAAAUGACGGUACCUGACUAAGAAGCACCGGCUAAAUACGUGCCAGCAGCCGCGGUAAUACGUAUGGUGCAAGCGUUAUCCGGAUUUACUGGGUGUAAAGGGAGCGCAGGCGGAAGGCUAAGUCUGAUGUGAAAGCCCGGGGCUCAACCCCGGUACUGCAUUGGAGACUGGUCAUCUAGAGUGUCGGAGGGGUAAGUGGAAUUCCUAGUGUAGCGGUGAAGUGCGUAGAUAUUAGGAGGAACACCAGUGGCGAAGGCGGCUUACUGGACGAUAACUGACGCUGAGGCUCGAAAGCGUGGGGAGCAAACAGGAUUAGAUACCCUGGUAGUCCAC